ensembl:lncRNA
GAAAAAUCUUGCUUCAGAAAUCAGUUUCACUCAGUGUCAGGGUCGCUCAGCUGCAGGUGGUGGUGCUAACAGAGGGUGUAGAGUUCGUUCGGCUGCCCUUUAAAACUACCGAUGAUCUUCAUGAGCACAUCAAAGUUAAGUGGAGACAUCAAAACAUGAAGGUCCACGAAUAUCAGAGUGACCAGAACCAGCCUUCCAUGCCAGCUCGGGAUUACAAAGGUCGCACAGAGAUGAUUGAGGAGGAAGUGAAGAAAGGAGACUUCAGUCUGGUCCUGAAACAACCCAAACUAGAAGACUGUGGUGUCUACACUUGCACCGUCAAGAACAGAGAUGGAAAAAUUCUGAGAGACAAAAUAAUUGCCCUCGGUGUCCAAGGAAGCUUAAAGAGAGGCAACACAGAUUUGGACUACAUCAUGAGACAUAUAGUAUCAUCAAGUCACCCACAAGUUUCUUCUACUGAGUAAUGUCUUCUUCAUCACUCUUCCUCUACCUCCGUAUUUGUUCUCACAUUCCUCCAACUC